rnacentral:rRNA from 1 species
GAUGAACGCUGGCGGCGUGCCUAAUACAUGCAAGUCGAGCGAACAGACGAGGAGCUUGCUCCUCUGACGUUAGCGGCGGACGGGUGAGUAACACGUGGAUAACCUACCUAUAAGACUGGGAUAACUUCGGGAAACCGGAGCUAAUACCGGAUAAUAUAUUGAACCGCAUGGUUCAAUAGUGAAAGACGGUUUUGCUGUCACUUAUAGAUGGAUCCGCGCCGCAUUAGCUAGUUGGUAAGGUAACGGCUUACCAAGGCGACGAUGCGUAGCCGACCUGAGAGGGUGAUCGGCCACACUGGAACUGAGACACGGUCCAGACUCCUACGGGAGGCAGCAGUAGGGAAUCUUCCGCAAUGGGCGAAAGCCUGACGGAGCAACGCCGCGUGAGUGAUGAAGGUCCUCGGAUCGUAAAACUCUGUUAUUAGGGAAGAACAAAUGUGUAAGUAACUAUGCACGUCUUGACGGUACCUAAUCAGAAAGCCACGGCUAACUACGUG